rnacentral:tRNA from 1 species
GGGCUAUAGCUCAGUGGUAGAGCACAUGAUUAGCGUGUAUGAGCCCCUAGAUUCAAUCCCGAGUACCAUCA